UACAGAGGGUGCAAGCGUUGUUCGGAAUUAUUGGGCGUAAAGGGCGCGUAGGCGGUUCGGCAAGUCUUCAGUGAAAUCUCUGGGCUCAACUCAGAGUCUGCUGGGGAAACUGCCGGGCUUGAGUGUGGGAGAGGAGAGUGGAAUUCCUGGUGUAGCGGUGAAAUGCGUAGAUAUCAGGAGGAACACCUGAGGCGAAAGCGGCUCUCUGGACCACAACUGACACUGAGGCGCGAAAGCUAGGGGAGCAAACAGG
rnacentral:rRNA from 1 species